UUUCUAAUUGCAAUCGAUGAGCGAGUAUAGCAAUCAAUUGAAUUUUGUUGGAAGCUGUAAGGCCUGAGAUUUUGGCAGUAUAGCUGAACUCUCUGUUGACGAUGUUUUUGUGUGUAAUUUAAUUACAUAAGCACUCGUCAAGUUUCGGAAGAAAACGAGUUAGAACGGAGAAGUUGUGCGAUAAAUAUUAAUCACUUAAGUGAAUAGUAACUCCGGUUUUCCGGAGAAGCCGCGGAGUAGAGUUGGCUUU
rnacentral:lncRNA from 1 species